ensembl:lncRNA
GGAUCCAGCGCGUGGAAACAUUUUGGCUUUUGCAAACACGUCGGUCGCUGUUUGUAGAAUAUGUAGAAGCCAAAUAAAAAACCACGGAAACACGACGAAUCUUUCCGGCCAUCUACUAAGGCGCCGUGGGAUGAAACAACGCCGACAGUCAGGACCUCUAGCAGCGUCACCGCUGCAGCAGCAGCAGGCUGUCAGGGAAGCCACGCAGCAGCGGCCCCAGACAGAAGGCCGGCCAUGACAAUGAAGCUGGAGCCCUGCAGGAACCGCUCCCUCUGCUGGCCAGGCACAGAGGGAACCCCAAAACCCUGCAAGACAACCUGACUCCAUCCUGUGUGGUACAAUUACAUCGCCC